CCCCUGGAAGUCCAAUGGUGAGGACUCUGCAUUGUCACUGCUGAGGGCUGGGGUUCAAUCCCUGAUCAGGGAA
rnacentral:tRNA from 1 species